rnacentral:tRNA from 1 species
GGAAAGGUGGCAGAGUGGUCGAAUGCUCUGGUUUUGAAAACCAGCGUGGCUUAUGGUCACCGGGGGUUCGAAUCCCUCCCUUUCCG